rnacentral:rRNA from 1 species
AACAAACGCUGGCGGCGUGCCUAACACAUGCAAGUCGUACGAGAAAGGGUCCUUCGGGGCCUGAGUAAAGUGGCGCACGGGUGAGUAACGCGUGGAUAAUCUGCCCUUCAGUUGGGAAUAACUCAUCGAAAGGUGGGCUAAUACCGAAUAAUGCUGUGAGACCUCGGUUGAUCAGCCAAAGAGAGCCUCUGCUUGCAAGCCCUCGCUGACGGAUGAGUCCGCGUACCAUUAGCUAGUUGGUAGGGUAAUGGCCUACCAAGGCGACGAUGGUUAGCUGGUCUGAGAGGAUGAUCAGCCACACUGGAACUGAGACACGGUCCAGACUCCUACGGGAGGCAGCAGUGAGGAAUCUUGCGCAAUGGGGGCAACCCUGACGCAGCAACGCCGCGUGAGUGAGGAAGGUCUUCGGAUCGUAAAGCUCUGUCGGAUGGAAAGAACCGCAUAGGGGUAAACAGCCCCUGUGUCUGACGGUACCAUCAAAGGAAGCAACGGCUAACUCCGUGCCAGCCGCCGCCGUAAAAC